rnacentral:rRNA from 1 species
GACGAACGCUGGCGGCGUGCCUAAUACAUGCAAGUAGAACGCUGAAGAGAGGAGCUUGCUCUUCUUGGAUGAGUUGCGAACGGGUGAGUAACGCGUAGGUAACCUGCCUUGUAGCGGGGGAUAACUAUUGGAAACGAUAGCUAAUACCGCAUAACAAUGGAUGACACAUGUCAUUUAUUUGAAAGGGGCAAUUGCUCCACUACAAGAUGGACCUGCGUUGUAUUAGCUAGUAGGUGAGGUAAUGGCUCACCUAGGUGACGAUACAUAGCCGACCUGAGAGGGUGAUCGGCCACACUGGGACUGAGACACGGCCCAGACUCCUACGGGAGGCAGCAGUAGGGAAUCUUCGGCAAUGGGGGCAACCCUGACCGAGCAACGCCGCGUGAGUGAAGAAGGUUUUCGGAUCGUAAAGUUCUGUUGUAAGUCAAGAACGGGUGUGAGAGUGGAAAGUUCACACUGUGACGGUAGCUUACCAGAAAGGGACGGCUAACUACGUG